rnacentral:lncRNA from 10 species
CGAGAGCCCGGACUGGAGAUUUCUGAGAGAGCAGACACCAUCUUAUUUCUGUUGAAUUGUAUUUAGUAACUCAAAAGGCAUAUACCAAGCUGUCAGAAGCAGCUUCAUUUAAAAGGGAUUAUAAUACCUACCUAUGACAGAGACUGCCAAAUAUACUCCAGUAGCCAUUCUGCUUUUCUUCUUUUCAGAAAUAAAAUUUCUAGUCCUGCCUGAAGUUUAAGCUAGCCCAUGACUACACAAGUGCAACUGUAUUUCCCAGGUAGAUGCCGGUAGAUUGGGCCCAGUAAGUUUGGGCCGUUGGGAUGUGAAAGGAAGAGAUGCGGGCAACUUUUUGGGUCAUCUUCUUAAAGAAAAAGCCAUUUGUCCUGGAUGCCCUCUUUUCUUUUUUCUCUUUGGCUGGGAAAUGACAAGAAUUAAAGCAGCAGCCUUGGAUCCAGAGAUGGACGCCAAUUGAUGAAGACAGCAGAACUGACUGGCUAGUCUGGGUUCCCUGGAGCAGAGCUGUCUCUCCACCCUAGGUUAUCCACUUACUUUUGUACUGUUAUGUGAGAGAGAAAUAAACUUCUAUCUUCUUUAA